UACGGAGGGGGCUAGCGUUGUUCGGAAUUACUGGGCGUAAAGCGCGCGUAGGCGGCUUUGUAAGUCAGAGGUGAAAGCCUGGAGCUCAACUCCAGAACUGCCUUUGAGACUGCAUCGCUAGAAUCAUGGAGAGGUAAGUGGAAUUCCGAGUGUAGAGGUGAAAUUCGUAGAUAUUCGGAAGAACACCAGUGGCGAAGGCGGCGAUCUGGGUCGAUACUGACGCUGAGGUGCGAAAGCGUGGGGAGCGAACAGG
rnacentral:rRNA from 1 species